GACGAACGCUGGCGGCGUGCUUAACACAUGCAAGUCGAACGGAAAGGCCCUGCUUUUGUGGGGUGCUCGAGUGGCGAACGGGUGAGUAACACGUGAGUAACCUGCCCUUGACUUUGGGAUAACUUCAGGAAACUGGGGCUACUACCGUAUAGGAGCUCCUGCUCCAUGGUGGGGGUUGGAAAGUUUCGGCGGUUGGGGAUGGACUGGCGGCUUAUCGGCUUGUUGGUGGGGUAGUGGCUUACCAAGGCUUUGACGGGUAGCCGGCCUGAGAGGGUGACCGGCCACAAUGGGACUGCGAUACGGACCAGACUCCAACGGGAGGCAGCAGUGGGGAAUAUUGCACAAUGGGCGGAAGCCUGAGGCAGCAACGCCGCGUGCGGGAUGACGGCUUUCGGGGUGUAAACCGCUGUCGCCUGUGACGAAGCGUGAGUGACGGUAAUGAGUAAAGAAGCACCGGCUAACUACGUG
rnacentral:rRNA from 1 species